CCUGAAUGAGGCUCAGCAGAGCCAGGUGAAGCAGAGCCUUUCCCUUUGCAGAGGGGGAAAGCUGAGAAGCAAAGAUGAGGUGAUGUGAGUAAGACAGCGUGAGGCAGAAUUAGGAACAGAAAUCAGGGGUUUUGUUCUUAAGUCUGGCUUUCUGACAGGAUCACCCAUCUUCAUCAGUGAACUGGAAACAUGUGAGCCAUGGCUUUGUCAUUUGAAAGGAGAGAUUAAAUCCAAGUGGUCUGAAAGGCUCAGUGGCAGGUGAGAGCUUUCUGCUUCCUGGCAUCCAGCUCUUAAAAAACAAACUGCAGUUAAUGUUGCAUUCUGAAUCUUGAUGACCUGGUAACAGCAAGACCAUUACAGACGUUGUUCUUCUGCUGUCUGGUGCCACACUUCUCUUUCAGGAUGGGUCCAUUGCAAUGCAAGCUGCAGAGCCUGACACAGACCUUGACCCCAAGUACUUGGAGGUGUGUAAUAUGACCUGCUGUGCCAUGACACCUGCUGAAUGCAGUCACUCUGGACAUGCUUGUUGCCUCCUGCUCUCCAAGAAAACAAGAGUGAUGCAAACAACAGCAGCCAUUCUGCCUAAGAAAUGUUGGAGCUUCUUCUUGAUGAUACAGCUUUCGCUUUCUGUGUUCCUCAUUCACUCCACAGUGGGACAGCCUUUUGGUGAGUGGAAGGUGGGAUGCUGGCUCCUUGCUAAUGCUAUCCUGGUGCAUGGGGCUGCUCAAGCUAGGUGCUCAACUGAAGUCCAUCCCUGCCCCUACUGGCUGCUCAGGAUCCCUUGGCGUUCCUUGCCUCGAUUAACAUAGUGAGACUGGGCUAAUGUCAAUGUGAAACAGGUUUUAAGAGUGAGGCUUGUGCUGGGGAGCCGUAAGGAGCAGCAGAAGCCCUGACUGCCUGCUCUGCUGGAGACAUUUGCAGAGGCAUCAGGAGGUGUCCUGGCCCCAAGGGCUGCCAGGAUGUCACUGUAGCCUUAGGCACGUGGCUGCAAAGGAAGGGGGAAAAGCGCUGUGAGGGAACGAGAGGAAAGGGAUAGGAAUAGGGAUUGAAUCCAGCUCCUUCUUCCAUAGGGGAAAAUUAACAUUUCUUUUAAGCCAACGAGGUGGCAGAGCCUGGCUGCACAGAGAUAAGCGUGUACAGCAGCUGCCCAGUGGGAUUUUACAGGUUGACAGCGCUUAGCAUGCUGCAUUUAACAGUUUCAGAGCCAACUUUUCCCAGCGAGAUGACACGAGGUGAAAAAGCUACAGGUGAGGUGCAGGUGCUGUGUCCUACAAGAAGGGGCUGCUCCCCUCUGGCCUAAGGCCUGCCUGGAUGAAGGAAGAGGUGAAGCAGGUGUGUGUGAAGGACACGACUUGUGCCACUGCUGCCUGGUGAAGUGACAAGUUGUUUGAUGAGGACUCCCUGACAACUGGCUGGCUGUGCUGCCUGUGCAGGCAGGUGGGUGCUGUCAUAGCUUGGUGUUUGUCAGGUGGGCCCAUCCCUGAGGGCUGGGCAGGCCGCGCUGGCUGUGGUGGUGAAGCCAGUCCGCACUUUCUUGCCUUCUGCCUGGCUGUUUCCCUGAUUGCCACACAGUAAGCUGGGACACUGCAGCAGUCUUGCUUAAAAUGAUGCUUUUCUUCGUGAGGAGAAUGGGGAGGGUUAUUCUCAGUGGCCUCAAAAAACUGGAAGGUGGAGUUUUGUCUUGGUGCACCUAGAUGGUCCUUCACAAGGAGCUGGCGGAGGCCGCAGGCGCCUCUGGGAAUGACUGAGAGUUUGUCAUGGAAGCUUUGAAGAGGAAGAGGGGUUUAAUGUGGAUCUGUAGUUUAAACCCAUUCCAUCGUCACUGGCUUCCUGGGUAAGGAAAUGACCAGAUGAGGAACCACCCGCCCAAAGGAAGAAAAUAUUCUGCAUCUCCUUUUUUAUACAGAGCUGCAGGGCAACACUGACAAUAUGAAGUUAGUCUGGGCAGAGGAAGUGAACCAUCAAAUCUCUGUGGAGGGAAUGAGGGCUCUGAUGCUGGCUGCUGAGAGCAGUGCGAGGUCCCUCUUGAAUAUCAGUGGGAAAUGAUGAUGAGAUAUUUUCACAGGGCGGAUAUGCAAAGCAAAAUAGUUACACGGCUCACGGUGAAGCACUGCCAGGACUACCUUGGUAUGAGGAAAUAAUCUUCAUAUCUUCUGGGAGACUCCUAAAUUAAAUGGCUGAUGUUUUAGAGAAUUGACGUGAGUUAUUUCGGGGAUGUAUCCCCCAAGUUCUUAUUACCACGCUGUUAGGAGGAUGUCCUGAUUUUCAGCAAUUAAACAAAGAUAGGUAACUGCUUAACAUUCUGUGGCUGAAGCCAGUAGCUGUAUUAAAUUACUGUGUGUGCAGAGACAGAUACCAUCCACAGGAACGGAGUUGGCCAAAAUAAGAUAAUUAAGAGGAAUGGAGUGACUUGCUGCCUCUGCUAGAUUAGCAGCUGAACUGUUUGAGGAAGGAAAAGACCAAAUGACGUUUUUGCUUUAACAUUUGCAAUAACAGUACUCUUCCUCAGCACCUAUUCCAUCUCAACUCUACCAUCUCUUCCUUAAAAUUCUCUUUAUGUAUAAAAAUGGCUGAUAUGGACAACAACUCCAUUGCUCUCUAACAACAGAUGCCAUAUGAAAGGGACUCCUCAGUCUGUUCUUCCAGCGUGGUUGUUAGGGCUGAAAACAUGGGACUGUGUUUCUGUAGCUAAUAGGCAGUCUGGAUGUUUCUCUGAGCCCGAGGCUCCCCCCGUGUUGUUGCUCUCUGCCUCUCUCCAGCUAAAAGCAGAUCUUAGCACAACUUACUAGUAUUCUGCCAUCACUCAGCCUGCCUGCAUACAUGAUCACCAAUAAUCAGCUGCACAGUAGCAGCUUGUUUUCUGCUAUCUGGCUUGUUGGAGAUGAUAUAUGAAGUAUAAAGAAUACUGUGAGAUGUUUUUCUUAAGCUACGUUAAGCCCACUGUGCUGACAGCAGCAAAACAGAACUUGUUUUGACAGGGAGUUGAGCUAAUGUGACACAUAAGCUAAAUGCAGGAAGGAUGAGGAUCUCUAUCAGACCCCGGUGAUUUUUAUUCUGUGGGUCAUUUUAAAAAGCCUUUCCCCAGCACUUGUUUUCUGAGCUGUCACCUUCUCCACAAUGUGAAAGACAUUUUUUUCCCCCCUCCCGUUGGUCUUUGUAGCUUCCAGCACAAUUCAAAGGCUCGAGAUUUAUUUUAAGAUUUAUGGAUCAUUACAAUAUUGGUAGUGUUGCAUCUUUAUGUGGUGGUGAUAUGUCACCGUGAGUUGUUGCUCCCAAGGAAGCUGAUGCAGUUUGACAGCAGGAAGACGGUGUCCUGUCUCAUGACAUGGUUCUGCUCCAUGGGGCAUACACGAGGGGUUCGGACCCCAGCACGGAUGGCAUAAGCCUGUAAUCCCUAUGUCUUCUCUCAGGCAAGCGUGGGGAAUUCAAAUCAUCUUCAGAGCAUGGAUCAGAUGGAGUUUGUUUAUUUUAUUUUUCGCUGUAACCAUUAGGGGCAAUUGCUACCCCAACAGGUCACUGAGCCAGCUCGUUCUGCCACAGUCUGAAAGACAGAUUGCUUCAGGUCUGGCAUUUAUUCAUGCUGAGAUGGAUAUGAAUAAAUCCUGUGCUCCAGUAUGUAAGCUGAUUGCAUAGCAAGGGUCGGGAAGGUCCCAUUCCUUUAUUUCCCCUCUAUACAGCAUUGCGUUGUGAGGGUUUUGCCUUCUCUUGAAGGUUGAAAUAUUUGAGGUUGCGUGAAUCAGAGUGCUGAAGGUCAGUGGCCCCUAAGAGCCUGCUAAAUAUCAUUAAUGCUCUUUCAUUAAUCACCUGGACUGGGGGCUCCUGCUGGUCUGUACUGGUGUUCCCUCUGGGCCUACCCAGUUCCCUUUAUGAAGGAAGAAUGUGUGUGCCCAAGGUCUCUUCCAAGAGUGUUGCUGGGAGGCAGCUGUUGUCUGCACCCAGUAACCAGGGUUGCAAAGCUUUCUUGUUCCAUGGGUUAGACCUAGUGAGUUCCUUGGGGCCAGGGCUUCAUCUGAUAGCUAGGUUGUUUUUGCCUGCAUCCUUCUGGGUUCUCCUCUGGGUAAUGGCUUGCCCCUGCUCUGCGUAUAGCAGGGAAGCCAUAGUGGUACACGGAACUUAUAUUAAUAAAGAGCUGCUCAGAUGCUUUCUGCUUGGUGAAGGUGACUUCUCAAACUGCUCGCUCACAGAACUGCACUCCCUGAUGUCUUCCUCUCCUUGCAUUUGCACUGUUGCCUGGAUUCCAAAGAUGCACUUUACUCACAGCCCACUGAAUGGGACAAGACAGGCAGCCAGUCAGAAGCUGAGCUCACAGUGACCUCAUCUGUGCAGGACAGAGCCAAGAAAUGCAGCACCUAUCUCGUUGCCUUGCCCAUGGCAAUGUUGGCAACUGUCACCAAGUCAACUUGGUCCUGGCAGGUGAAUGUGCUGGUGUUGAGCAAGGGACAGAAAUGAAGAGUGCAGUGCAUGCAGCAGGCAAAGCUGCACAAACCCCUUUUGGAAGGAGAUGGUCACUGUCACCAGCACAGUUCAGAGUGCAUCCGUCCAACUGGAGCAUGAGAAGCUUCAGGAAUGCAGUGAGAGUGUGAUUUAAAAACAUGCUAGGAGGGGAAGUGCAGUUAAGGUGCCUUUAACCACCUUUACUCUGCCCUGCAGCAAUGCAAAGGAAAACAAUUUACUUUUAAAGGUUAUUGCAAUCUAGAGCUUUAAAAUCUAACGUCUUAAUCAUUACUGAAUGGUUAUUGAAGAAGUUUACCUUCUUCAGUCAUAAACAGCUGCUGAAUAAAACGUGCCUUUCACAUCUUGCACGAUAGCAUAAAAGCCUGAGCCACGUAUCAGCAAAGGAAACAACUGUCAGAUAGUGGUCAUAGCGAGCACAGAUAGAGUCCUCCCUGCUUGUUUUGUCUUCAUCCAAAGAAGGAAAAGCAGUGUAUCGUAAGCUGUAUUUCAGUAAAGCUUCUCGUCUGUGUGGUCCUGCCAUCACCCACUCAUGUGCUUAGCUUCGUCUUCCUGGGGAAUGUUUGCAUGUUUCGUGCCAAGAUUGACGUUUGUUUUUCUAGCAGGAGAACCAGUUCUGUCUUCUCAGAGCUCCGGUUUCCUUCCUUCUUGAGGCAGAGAGAUGAGGGGCUGGAGAAGGGUCCUUGUUGGGUGUGCAGCGUGACUGACUUGACCUGAGCUGAGGGGACUGCUCUCUGGGUAGCUGCAGCCGGGUCCUCACCUGUCCUCCCAGCAUCCUGCCCGUAUGAUCUGCUAGGUUGCCAAGGGACUAUACAGGAGAAGGAAUCUGCCCCUCGGGCUGAUUUAUCAUAAAGGGAUGGGAGAGCUUGGAGUGCUUGUUUUUCCAUUUCUAAGAUCUUUCAAGAUGAAAAAUCUGCUACUUUCCUCAAAGGACACUUUUAAUUUUUGGUUGAGCAAAGUGAAGUCCUUCAAUACUGCAUGAAGCCUUUUAUCUCUCUGUGCGUCUUCGCUGUGAUGUAUCCUCCUGUGAGCCAUAGGAUGACGAUUUCAAAAGCUAUAACUUUGUCUUUACUGUUGUCUGUAAUGUGAGGAAAGCUGUGAGCCAGUCACGCAUUUUGAAACCCGCCUCUUUCCUAGGAAGGGGUGGGCAGGGUCAGAUGUGGGUACGUAUGGCUGCAGACACUGCUGGCGGUGCUUGGGAUGGAGCUGUACACCUGCAGCUCAGCUGGGCAGGGCAUCAAUGCACGCUGCCCUGCUUAUCAGGUGCCUGUGUGGAGUUGCCAUAGCCUGACACUACAUUUGGAAAGCGUUUGCCGUCCUCUCCUGACAGCAGUCUGAGGUCCAUAUUUUUUAUGGCUGGUAUAAUCUGAAAAUCAAGUACUUCUGGCAGUUUUUGUAGAUCCAUCUAGUACACUGCAUUCGUCUGAGCAACUGCUGUUUGCCUUUAAUCUGUCCAGAUCCAAUUAUAUUAAGUAUCCACAGGUGAAGCAUUAGAGACCGUGUGUCUCUUUUAUUUUUGGAAAGGGGCUGUGUUUUCUCUGUCGUGGCUGGGGGUGGGAGCUCCGUUCUUGGUCACCCCCUGGCAAUGGGGAUGUGAUGAGCUUCAGUGCUCUCAUAGGAGCACUCAUUCUGCACCACACCUCAGCUUACAAUGCGGCUUGAAGUCCUUAAUGUGCUUCACAUGGGCAGGGGAGCCUUGCACCUCUGGCCCCAUCGCUUGCUCGCUCUGGUUUUGUUGGAGAACAAACGUUUAUCCAGCAUUAUCUUCCUCUUGAAAGUAAAAGCAGUGAUAGCAGAGACUUCUAUAGCAGGAUGGUCUGAGCUGGCACAUGUAUGAAAGUGGGGAAAACAACAGGAAAAAAAAUGGUCACUUUAGCUCAGUGUUCCUCAAAUGUUUCGUGCUGCUGUUGCUGUCUGAAGUGAUAACAAGGUCUGAGCACUCCCCUUGUACACUUCCUGUGCAAGUGCAGGAAGGUACCAACAAUACCAGUGUUGUGGCAGCGUAAUUGCUUUAUGCUGUGUGUUUUGAGAGGCUGCCUGUGAAGGGUUAGGGUGUGCAAUGAAUGCAAGAACAAGGUUUGUUUUGCCUGAGAUCAUAGCUGCAUGUUCAGCAUCUCACUAAUCCUCUUUUCCUCCCUGGACUGUGUUCCUUGAGAACUCCUUGGGGGGAUUUUGCUCCAUCAGUGAAAACCCCAAUGUAUUACUGAGCCAUAAGUGCCUGUGGAAAUGCACCAAACCCAAACCUGACUGCCAGAACCUCUAAAACCCAAGGGCAGCCUGGAUGAGAGGCAUCCCUGCCUCUGGGGUUAGUUCAUGCUGGGAUUGGUGGGACAAGGACAUGGCCCACACUGGGGAGCCAGGCUCAGCAGGGCCACAGCCCAGCAGGGAACUGUGCUGUGUUCUGGUCCAGCUCCCUGCAGUGCUGGGGCAGCAGUGCCAGGUAGGAGAUAAAGGCACUUCUCUGGGGAAGUGGAGCCAUGUUUGGAGAGAGAGCCAGUGAAUAGCCUUCAUGGCAUCGGCGUCCUCACCAAGAGGAUACUUCACAGACAGAUGAUUGCUCUCUAAUUUCCGAGCUAGCAGAAGCUUGUUCUGGGGAUAUUUGUUGAUAUUUAGCAAAAAGGUUUGUUUCCUCAGCCCUUGCCCAAACAGGCUCUUACCCCCUUGCACCAGCCAAGGCCACACGUGGACAUGGGGCCAGUGGGGCAGCACUCGCCUGCCCGGAACAGACAAAGCCCAUUAAGAGUUAAUGCCUGCAAUUAAAAAUGAGCCCUGUGGUUUCAGAAAGAUGACAGUGGGUGUGAAACGCUGUAACAUUCCCAUUAAUUUGAAACGUCUCCUUUCUGGCCAGAAAGAGGUGCCCAGAUUUUUUAGUCAAUAUUAAUUUUACACUUGGCACCACAGGAGAGUGUGAACUGCUGAGUUCACCAAGGGUCCAUCUAAUAAACAGACAAUGGAAAAUCAGAAAAGCGAAGAUUGAGUUCACUUGCCCAGGCGAUGAGAGCGUAAUAACCAUGAGGGCUGCAGAGGGCAAUGGAAAAUUCUGAGCAGUAACGAGGAGCUGCAGCUCUGCCAUGGUAGGGAUGCAGGAGGGGUGGCCUCGUGCUGUGCCAGAGGGAGCAGUCCUGGGCCUGGGAUGUGGAGCAGUAGGGGAGGAUUCACAUCACCAAUGUGCUAUUGGAGUGGAAGGGCUGGAAAAGAAAAGCCGGUUGUCCCCCUGCAGAUGAACCCCAGGCCAUAUCUCCAUGUGAUUUCCUUUAGAAAAGAGUUGGAGAUUUUGGAUGCGUGCUGCCUGUUGGGUCUGCUCUACCCCUUCCUGUUUGGAUCACCUUGCUGGAUUACGGGGUUAAGCGAGCCGUUCCCAGCCUGGCAGCCUGCAGAAUGCCGGGCAUCAGGCUUUCCAGCAGCAGUGCUUAGCCAGGGGAAGGCUGCAACAGUAAGGGAUGAACUCCAUUCCAAAGAGCCAGAUGCUGCUACCUGUCUGAUAAACCCAGAGGUAACUCUCUGGGAGCAGGAGAUAAUUAUCAGAAAAACAGAUUGCUUUGAGGGAUAUGUUUACUGCCUUCCCUUACCUUUCAAGCAGUCUGCACAGCAGGUUUCUCUUAUUGUCUUGGUGCUAGCAGGGGACUGUCCAGCACCACAGUCGUGUAAUUUCAACAGUGUAUGGCAGCUGAUCUGUGGGCACUUGGAGCUGCCAUGUAUCUUUGUGCUUCGUGCCUCAACCUCUGCAUUCCUUGUG